AGCUGGUAUCAAGCACGCUUCAAAGUAGCUCAUAACACCUUGCUCAGCCACACCCCCACGGGAAACAGCAGUGAUAAGAAUUAAGCAAUAAAUGAAAGUUUGACUAAGUUACACUAGUAUUAGGGCUGGUAAAUUUCGUGCCAGCCACCGCGGUCAUACGAUUGGCCCAAGCUAAUAGACAAUCGGCGUAAAGCGUGUUUUAGAUUAUAAUUAAAAAUAAAGCCAAAUUUUGACCAAGCUGUAAAAAGCCUCGAUCACUGUAAGACACGUGACGAAAGUAGCUUUAAGAUCUCUGACUACACAAUAGCUAAGACCCAAACUGGGAUUAGAUACCCCACUAUGCUUAGCCCUAAACAUAGAAAAUUAUGAACAAAAUUAUUCGCCAGAGUACUACCAGCAAAAGCUAGAAACUCAAAGGACUUGGCGGUGCCUUAUAUCCUUCUAGAGGAGCCUGUUCCAUAAUCGAUAAACCCCGAUAAACCCGACCAACCUUUGCCAAAUCAGCCUAUAUACCGCCAUCUUCAGCAAACCCUAAAAAGGAAGCACAGUAAGCACAAAUAUUAACAUAAACACGUUAGGUCAAGGUGUAGCCUAUAGGUUGGAGAGAAAUGGGCUACAUUUCCCAAACCAGGGACAUAUUACGAAAAUUUAUGUGAAACCAUUAGUCAAAGGUGGAUUUAGCAGUAAAUUGAGAAUAGAGCGCUUAAUUGAAUGAGGCCAUGAGGCACGCACACACCGCCCGUCACCCUCCUCAAGCAAUAA
rnacentral:rRNA from 1 species